rnacentral:lncRNA from 1 species
UUUGUCUCUGCUAAUACACAUUGCUCUCUGAAACUAGGAAAUCUGUCAAAUGGUACUCUUGGCAUCUGACUUCCUAUAAUCAUUUUUGUGGCAUCCCCAGAUCUUCAAAACUGAAUCUUCACAGAGUGAAUGCCAAAAGACAGCAAGCAACAGAUUCCAUUGAGGUUACCACAACUGACAGAAUGAACGAAAAACGUGACCUUAAAAGGUGAGGUGACUGAUAUUCUCCCACUACUGGCAUGUUCUUAGCUCUCAGAUGGAGUAGAUAUUCCGGCUUUUGUGCCCAUUCUUCAAGUUAGAAGAGUGCAGGAGUUUCCACAGAACUAUUAAUAAAUUAUAAUUGAAAAAGACUGAAAUGGCUGGA